GACGAACGCUGGCGGCGUGCUUAACACAUGCAAGUCGAACGGAAAGGCCCUGCUUUUGUGGGGUGCUCGAGUGGCGAACGGGUGAGUAACACGUGAGUAACCUGCCCUUGACUUUGGGAUAACUUCAGGAAACUGGGGCUAAUACCGGAUAGGAGCUCCUGCUGCAUGGUGGGGGUUGGAAAGUUUCGGCGGUUGGGGAUGGACUCGCGGCUUAUCAGCUUGUUGGUGGGGUAGUGGCUUACCAAGGCUUUGACGGGUAGCCGGCCUGAGAGGGUGGACGGGCACAUUGGGACUGAGAGAGGGCCCAGACUCCUACGGGAGGCAGCAGUGGGGAGUAUUGCACAAUGGGCGGAAGUCUGAUGCAGCAACGCCGCGUGCGGGAUGACGGCCUACGGGUUGUAAACCGCUUUCGCCGGUGACGAAGCGUGAGUGACGGUAAUGGGUAAAGAAGCACCGGCUAACUACGUG
rnacentral:rRNA from 1 species